rnacentral:tRNA from 1 species
GAAAUAGCUCAGUUGGGAGAGCGUUAGACUGAAGCUCUAAAGGUCCCUGGUUUGAUCCCAGGUUUC